rnacentral:rRNA from 1 species
CACGUAGUUGGCCGGGGCUUCUUCUGCAGGUACCGUCAAUUUCGUCCCUGCUGAAAGCGGUUUACAACCCGAGGGCCUUCAUCCCGCACGCGGCGUCGCUGCGUCAGACUUUCGUCCAUUGCGCAAGAUUCCUAACUGCUGCCUCCCGUAGGAGUCUGGGCCGUGUCUCAGUCCCAGUGUGGCUGGACAUCCUCUCAGACCAGCUACCCGUCGUUGCCUUGGUGAGCCGUUACCUCACCAACAAGCUGAUAGGCCGCGAGGCCAUCCCGAAGCGGAAUCCAUUUCUUCACCAGACCAUGCGAUCCGGUGAAGGUAUCCGGUAUUAGCUACCGGUUUCCCGGUGUUCGUCCCGGUCUUCGGGGCAGGUUCCUCACGUGUUACUCACCCGUUCGCCACUCGUCCACCCGGGCAACGGCCCGGCUUCUCGUUCGACUUGCUAUGUUUUAGGCGUCGCCGCACGCGUUCGUCCUGUACGCAGACUC